GUUAAUGCAGCAGAACCCGGCCAUGCAAAAGAUCUAAGACCUUCUAUCAGGGGUUCAAAUCCCCUCAUUAACU
rnacentral:tRNA from 1 species